rnacentral:misc_RNA from 1 species
AGAAAACCCAGGUUCAGGCAGGAAGUGCUGCAUACAAGGAAAAUGAGAUUUCUCAGCACUUGGAAUAGCUUUACAUUGGGAUCCCAGAAAUUCUCACAAGAUCUUACAGCUGAUCAAUGUGAAAACUUAAAAACCUAAAUUAUUAACAAAUCAAUAUUCAAAAACAAUUAUACUGAAUAUGCCCACUAAUUGCUACCCCACUUUUCUUCCUACUUGACUCCAUUGCCCUCAACCUUUCUGGGACAACCAUCUUAACAUUUGACAACAUCAUUUUUCCAAGUGAAAAACUUUUAUCUCAAAUAAUGGAGAUACAAGCCAAACUCACAAGCACAUUUCAGUUGAAAUUCAGUAAGUAAGAUAUAUGGAAGAUAAUGUGAUGAAUAAACUUAAUCAUAUGUGAUCUCUAUGGCACAAAAUACUAACCUCGG